AUUGAACGCUGGCGGCAGGCUUAACACAUGCAAGUCGAGCGGAGAUGAGGUGCUUGCACCUUAUCUUAGCGGCGGACGGGUGAGUAAUGCUUAGGAAUCUGCCAUUUAGUGGGGGACAACAUUCCGAAAGGAAUGCUAAUACCGCAUACGUCCUACAGGAGAGAGCAGGGGAUCUUCGGACCUUGCGCUAAAUGAUGAGCCUAAGUCGGAUUAGCUAGUUGGUGGGGUAAAGGCCUACCAAGGCGACGAUCUGUAGCGGGUCUGAGAGGAUGAUCCGCCACACUGGGACUGAGACACGGCCCAGACUCCUACGGGAGGCAGCAGUGGGGAAUAUUGGACAAUGGGCGGAAGCCUGAUCCAGCCAUGCCGCGUGUGUGAAGAAGGCCUUUUGGUUGUAAAGCACUUUAAGCGAGGAGGAGGCUACCUGGAUUAAUACUCUAGGAUAGUGGACGUUACUCGCAGAAUAAGCACCGGCUAACUCUGUGCCAGCCGCCGCGGUAAUAC
rnacentral:rRNA from 1 species